UUGUUUAGUUGCAGAAAGGAAGAGGGAGAAAUAGGGAAGGAGAGGGUCAAUGAUUAAUUCAUAUAUUAACUAUUACCGAUGGUUUUAUUGAUAAAAUGUUUU